GUUGUCUUUGACAGUAAAGCAGAGUUGAAGUUCACCAGUCCAACAUAGACUCUGAGAACAACAAGGUUAACUUCUGUUAUUAGAAAGGUAGCUGCUUCUGAGAGGGAACAGAUGCCAGCAGGGGCUGAGAGGACCAAACUCCCCAGAACCUCUUCUAGAAUGUUGACCCGGUCUGGAGAGAAGCAUCACCAUCUGGAGAGGCAGAGGGAGGUGACUAGGACACUGGUCAUCAAGAGUUCUCCAGAUGAAUUUACACCUGAAAUUCAUGAUCAGGACAACAGGGGAGAGUACCG